AAUCACCGGGAAUCACCGGGAAUCAUCGAGAAUCUUUCGAUCAACCGCAAUAAAAUAUUCACAAAUAUCAAUACCGCACUUGAUGCACGAUGCCAGAGGAAAGCCGCGAAACCGUGUGGCAGCUAUCUAUACUCCUGGCUACAAGCGGGGCUCCGGGGCUGGAGUCGAGGGAACCGAGCGCGGAGCCGAGCCCAGCCGAGCGGAGCCGACCCCCAUUGAUUCGGAACUCAGUUCGCCUUGAUCCGAGCGGAAAGCUGGAGCAGCAACAGUGCGUUUUCCCCGCCAUUGCUGGAGUUAAUGUUGUGUGCCGUUGCCGUUGCUGCAGAUUGAGUGGUGCAUUUGUUGGUUUUUUCUAAUGGCCUACUAACUACCCAGUUGGCAGUCAUUCAUUCUGGCAGCAGUCAACUCCUGCAAUGUCUUCUAGUGCAGCUGCCAUAGAUUAACCGAUAGAGAGUCUGACAGUGCCAAAUUGUCCGUCUACGCCCACCAACAUGACUGGCUCAGAGGCAUCCAACGUGAACAGCACAGCUUUACCAGCAACUGGAAGUGCCCAGAUAACUGAGUGUGUAAGUUGUCUCUGUUCGUCUCAAUGCUGUUUGCUA